ACAAUGGAGAGUUUGAUCCUGGCUCAGGAUGAACGCUAGCGGCAGGCCUAAUACAUGCAAGUCGAACGAUAUUAUCCAGCUUGCUGGG
rnacentral:ncRNA from 1 species